AAAACUGUAAAUAAAGAUUCAAUAAAGAAAAGGCUCGAAAGAGAAAUAAAUAAAAUCACAAAAAUAGAAAUAGAGAAUCCUUUUUGAUUUUGUCUCGUCCAAACACAAAUAAAAGAUCUUUUUUAUUUUAAUAGCCUGGCCUGGUCAGUCCCCAGCCGGGCCUUUUUUUGUUAAAGUUAAAAAGACCCAUCCGAUGGGUUUUUAGACAAAAAAGAUCUGAAAUAAAAAAAAGGAAUCCUGCUUUGCCUAAUUUUAUUAAGUCUACGCUAGAAUUUUCUCAUUUUUUUUUCAGAUUUUUUUUCUCCCGAUUACUUUGUUCGACAAAAAGUAAAUUUAUAUACAAUAAUUGGAUUGUAGCGGGUAUAGUUUAGUGGUAAAAGUGUGAUUCGUUCCUUUAACCCCUUUAAUAGUUAAAGGGUCUCUCGGUUUGAUU
rnacentral:lncRNA from 1 species